rnacentral:rRNA from 1 species
CUGCAACUCGCCUGCAUGAAGUUGGAAUUGCUAGUAAUCGCGAAUCAGAAUGUCGCGGUGAAUACGUUCCCGGGCCUUGUACACACCGCCCGUCACACCAUGAGAGUUGGGGAUACCCAAAGCCCGUGAGCCAACUUUUAGAGGCAGCAGUCGAAGGUAGAAUCAAUGAUUGGGGUGAAGUCGUAACAAGGUAAC